GACGAACGCGGCGGCGUGCCUAAUACAUGCAAGUAGAACGCUGAAGGAGGAGCUUGCUUCUCCGGAUGAGUUGCGAACGGGUGAGUAACGCGUAGGUAACCUGCCUGGUAGCGGGGGAUAACUAUUGGAAACGAUAGCUAAUACCGCAUAAUAGUAGAUGUUGCAUGACAUUUGCUUAAAAGGUGCAAUUGCAUCACUACCAGAUGGACCUGCGUUGUAUUAGCUAGUUGGUGAGGUAAUGGCUCACCAAGGCAAUGAUACGUAGCCGACCUGAGAGGGUGAUCGGCCACACUGGGACUGAGACACGGCCCAGACUCCUACGGGAGGCAGCAGUAGGGAAUCUUCCGCAAUGGACGAAAGUCUGACGGAGCAACGCCGCGUGAGUGAAGAAGGUUUUCGGAUCGUAAAACUCUGUUGUUAAAGAAGAACAAGGAUGAGAGUAACUGCUCAUCCCCUGACGGUAUUUAACCAGAAAGCCACGGCUAACUACGUGCCAGCAGCCGCGGUAAUACGUAGGUGGCAAGCGUUGUCCGGAUUUAUUGGGCGUAAAGCGAGCGCAGGCGGUUCUUUAAGUCUGAUGUGAAAGCCCCCGGCUCAACCGGGGAGGGUCAUUGGAAACUGGAGAACUUGAGUGCAGAAGAGGAGAGUGGAAUUCCACGUGUAGCGGUGAAAUGCGUAGAUAUGUGGAGGAACACCAGUGGCGAAGGCGACUCUCUGGUCUGUAACUGACGCUGAGGCUCGAAAGCGUGGGGAGCAAACAGG
rnacentral:rRNA from 1 species